rnacentral:rRNA from 1 species
UACGGAGGGUGCGAGCGUUAAUCGGAAUCACUGGGCGUAAAGCGCGCGUAGGCUGUUUUGUAAGUCAGGGGUGAAAUCCCACCGCCCAACGGUGGAACUGCCUUUGAAACUGCGAGACUUGAGUACGGGAGAGGGUGGCAGAAUUCCAGGUGUAGGGGUGAAAUCCGUAGAUAUCUGGAGGAACACCGGUGGCGAAGGCGGCCACCUGGCCCGUAACUGACGCUGAGGUGCGAAAGCGUGGGUAGCAAACAGG